UGGGGAAUUUUGGACAAUGGGGGCAACCCUGAUCCAGCAAUGCCGCGUGUGUGAAGAAGGCCUUCGGGUUGUAAAGCACUUUUGUCCGGAAAGAAAUCGCCCUGGCUAAUAUCCGGGGUGGAUGACGGUACUGGAAGAAUAAGCACCGGCUAACUACGUGCCAGCAGCCGCGGUAAUACGUAGGGUGCGAGCGUUAAUCGGAAUUACUGGGCGUAAAGCGUGCGCAGGCGGUUGUGCAAGACAGAUGUGAAAUCCCCGGGCUUAACCUGGGAAUGGCAUUUGUGACUGCACGGCUAGAGUGUGUCAGAGGGGGGUAGAAUUCCACGUGUAGCAGUGAAAUGCGUAGAUAUGUGGAGGAACACCGAUGGCGAAGGCAGGCCCCGUGGGAUAACACUGCGCUCAUGCACGAAAGCCGUGGGGAGCAAACAGGAUUAGAUACCCUGGUAGUCCACGCCCUAAACGAUGUCAACUAGUUGUCGGGUCUUAAUUGACUGGUAACGCGCUAACGCGUGAAGUUGACCGCCUGGGGAGUACGUCGCAAGAUUAAAACUCAAAUGAAUUGC
rnacentral:rRNA from 1 species